GACAAAACUAAGUUGUUCAAUUCACAACACAAAAUCACAAUAAAAGUUUAACAAAAUCAAAUGGUAUUUGGUUACAACAAAAUACUGAAAUAAUGUUAAAUUAUUAUAUUAAUGCAUGAGAAAGUCACAAAUUUCACCACCAAAAUAAUAAGGAAAAAUGGAGUACUGAACCAAGUACCGGAUACGGGAACUUCACCGUUUUCACUGUUUUCCAUGUACCCAUACUUAAGAUGUUGACAGCCCUGCUAAAUUUUUUAAUAGAUCCAUUCUCUUUUAAUUACAUUGCCAAAUGCUACAAGGUAUUGAUGGAGCUAUUUGUUACAGGUUUGUUUCUGGUGUAUUUCUUGAAGUAGAAUUGGUAAGGAAAAAUCCUUGACAUAUGAAAGGAAUGUCAUUGAACCUACUUGCCUAAAUGACUUUUCA
rnacentral:lncRNA from 1 species